UACGUAGGGUGCGAGCGUUGUCCGGAAUUACUGGGCGUAAAGAGCUCGUAGGUGGUUUGUCACGUCGUCUGUGAAAUUCCGGGGCUUAACCUCGGGCGUGCAGGCGAUACGGGCAAUACUUGAGUGCUGUAGGGGAGACUGGAAUUCCUGGUGUAGCAGUGAAAUGCGUAGAUAUUACACAGAACACCAAUUGCGUAGGCAGCUUACUGAGCCGACACUGACGCUGAGGCACGAAAGCGUGGGGAUCAAACAGGAUUAGA
rnacentral:rRNA from 1 species